rnacentral:rRNA from 1 species
AGUAGCUGCGAGCGAACAGGGAAAAGCCCAGCACCGAAUCCCGCGGCCGACACCGGCCGCCGGGAAAUGUGGUGUUAGGGAGGGUCCGCUAUCCCGAGGUCGUGCGAUGCGUCCAAGUCCUUCUUGAACGGGGCCACUUACCCAUAGAGGGUGCCAGGCCCGUAGUGACUGUCGCCGAUCGCGGGAGGAUCUCUCCUCAGAGUCGGGUUGCUUGAGAGUGCAGCCCUAAGUUGGUGGUAAACUCCAUCUAAGGCUAAAUAUAACCACGAGACCGAUAGCGAACAAGUACCGUGAGGGAAAGUUGAAAAGAACUUUGAAGAGAGAGUUCAAUAGUACGUGAAACCGUUCAGGGGUAAACCUGAGAAACCCGAAAGAUUCGAAAGGGGAGAUUCAGCGCGUCCCCUUCUGGCGAGUGACUAACGUGUGACUUGGUUGCGUUCGCGCAGCCUCGCACCGACCUGCUCGCCGCCGGACCGAGGCGCGUGCACUUCUCCCCUAGUAGGACGUUGCGACCCGUUGGGUGUCGGCCUAAGGCUCGCGGUGGAGCCCGUACGUUCGGCUUGCCGACUCGUGCGGACCCGUGACUUGCCCGGCCGACUCGCUCGACGGUAUUACGAAGGCGCAGGGCCGCAACUUGCUUGCGUUCGGCCCGCUGCAAGCCUGGACGGGAGCGCGAACGUCGGACGACCUCCGACCUCGCCCCCGGACUGCUGUUGGCGGCGGUGUCCUCGAACAGACUCUGAAUACACGCCGGUCGGCAACGCUUUAGCUUUGGGUACUUUCAGGACCCGUCUUGAAACACGGACCAAGGAGUCUAGCAUAUGCGCGAGUCAUUGGGACUAGCGAAACCUAAAGGCGAAAUGAAAGUGAAGGCCGCCUCGUGCGUGCCGAGGGAAGAUGGGUCGCGCCUGGCGCGGCCCCGCACUCCCGGGGCGUCUUAUUCUCAUUGCGAGAAAAGGCGCACCUAGAGCGUAUAUGCUGGGACCCGAAAGAUGGUGAACUAUGCCUGGUCAGGACGAAGUCAGGGGAAACCCUGAUGGAGGUCCGUAGCGAUUCUGACGUGCAAAUCGAUCGUCGGAACUGGGUAUAGGGGCGAAAGACCAAUCGAACCAUCUAGUAGCUGGUUCCCUCCGAAGUUUCCCUCAGGAUAGCUGGCGCUCGAUGAAACGAGUUUCAUCCGGUAAAGCGAAUGAUUAGAGGCAUUGGGGUCGAAACGGCCUCAACCUAUUCUCAAACUUUAAAUGGGUGAGAUCUCCGGCUUGUUUGAACGUGAAGCCGCGAGAAUCGAAUCAGAG